CCCGCCGCCGUAGCCGCCGCCGCCGCCGGAACUACCGGGAGUGAGGGUUAUGUUCGGUUAACUCUAACUUUGAAAAAUGGUCAGCAUUGGUGUUUUCCAGGUGAUGCCCCUUAUCAAGGCUCUGUGAUCUGGUGCUGGGACACUUUUGACUGACAAGGUGAAUGUCUUCUUUCAAUCCUGGAAGUGAUCACUGAAACCAUUUGAAUUUAACCUCCAAAGUCUCUGAAUGGGAAGCCAUAGGCCGAAUGGCCCUCUUCCUGCAAUUGGCCCUGUGUCUGGAUUAUUUCACCAAAGUUUGAUGUUAUACCAAGGACGGCUGAUUCAUACCAACAUAGGGCCGUAUCAUUGGCAAAAUGGAGACACCAGAUAGCAAAAUUGGCCCUAGAAGCGAUGAUCAAUUAGUCACAGAUGAAAAUGGAAACCAAUUAUUCUGGCCUGUCACGCUCUUAUGGAUGAACCAGCUGUUUUGAUGAGGAAAGAAUAAAGUCAUUAGGGGAAAAAAAAUGGUUGCAAACCUGAAACUGAGAAAUUCUAAAUCCAUCUUUCAAAGAUCAUCCUAAAACUUGUGCCUUCAUCAUAAAACAAUUCAUUGGUAAUUGGUUUUGAGUUGGUCUUCCAUUUUUUUCCUUGUAAGCCUAUUUGCCCAGUGUUACUCUGAUAUGCUCCAUAUUGAAACUUGAAAUGCAGUGUAUGUGUGGACACACAUACUGUAUACAGUUCGUAAAUGUGAACACACAUGUGUUCGCAACGUUCCGCUAUAAAGGAAAUGUCAGAUUUACAUAUUCCCUGAACUGGAAGAAUAAAAGGUUGAUGACAACUUUGUAUUUUCUUAAGUAUUGAGAAACAUACACAUUUAUUUAUUUAUUUAUUUAUUAGAAGUUUAUUUAUUUAUUUGAGAGAGCACAAGUUGCGGGGAGAGGUGCAGGGAGAGCAGGAGAGGGAGAGAAUGCCAAGCAGGCUCUACACCAUCAGCAGAACCCAACAUGGGGCUCGAACUCAUGAGCCAUGAGAUCAUGACCUGAGCCAAAACCAAGAGUCAGACACUUAACUGACUGAGCCACCCAGGCGCCCUGAGAAAGUUAUACGUUUGAAAAACAGACUCAGAAAAAGAAUUAAAGAACAUCUUUGUCUCGGUGUGGCUAUUAAAAAGCAACUAUUCAAAACCAUCCAACAUCACUUUUGCCUUUUUACUGCUCUGUG